rnacentral:rRNA from 1 species
AAACCAGCACCUCAAGUGGUCAGGAUGAUUAUUGGGCCUAAAGCAUCCGUAGCCUGCUCUGUAAGUUUUCGGUUAAAUCUGUAUGCUUAAUAUACAGGCUGCCGGGAAUACUGCAGAGCUAGGGAGUGGGAGAGGUAGACGGUACUCGGGAGGAAGUGGUAAAAUGCUUUGAUCUCUCGAUGACCACCUGUGGCGAAGGCGGUCUACCAGAACACGUCCGACGGUGAGGGAUGAAAGCUGGGGGAGCAAACCGGAUUAGAAACCCCUGUAGUCC